CCCGCGGCGCCAACGCAGGCACGUCGCUCCCUCCGGCCCCGCCCCUCCCGCGUGCGCGCGCCGCCGGCCGCCCCGCCCCCGGCCCGCUGAGCUCCGAGCAGGACCUGGCCGGAGGCGAGGGCGCGCCCCGGACGGUGACUCCAGGUUUGUUGCGUGCCCAGUGCCUCCUCCAACUGUUUGUCUGAGAGUCUAACCCUGCAAUUACUGGAGUCGGCCGAAUCUCCCUCCCGCCCUGAUCUGUAAAGUGAAGGCAUGGAGAAAAGCAUUCCUCUUAAAGGCAAAGGAGAGAGGAGCAGUGACUCUGUAUGAAGAACCAGGUUUUAUUGCUGAUAUCUGGGGACAGAAUGUUUCAGGCCUGGCUAGCCAUCAACAUCUGCUGGACUACUGUGAUCAAGACCGGUGAAAAGGAGAACUGGAACUGCUGCUACCUGAAUGUGUCGUGACCUGGUUGAACUUUUUUUUAUAGAGAAGCAGCCAAUAGUGACCCAGUGAUACUCUUCACUGGCCAAACCACAUCUGGGGUUCUUUGUUCAGUUCUAGAUUGAGCACUUUAAGAAGACAUCAAAGAAGUUGGAAUUAUUUCAGAGGAGAGCAAAAUGAUGGAGAGAACUCAAAAGUACCACCAAUGAAGAAGUAGUGAUUGAACUUGGAAGGAUUUUUAUAGAAAGGAAAAAGCUACUGGGACUAUCUCCAAAUAAGUAAAGACUCAUCAGAGGACAGAUUUGUUUCAUGUGGUCUUAGGAAGUGCACACUUAAGAGAAACAGAUUUCAGAUUUGAAAAGAAGAUUUCCUUCUAACACUAGCCAGAAAAGUUGUGGCUUAGGGUGGGUGGAAGCCCUGACCAUUGGAUUUUACUUUAAGUAGAUUCCUAUGGUUUUUAAAGAGGAAUGGGUACAGAGAAGCCAUGCAUCAAGAGAAGAAUUAGUUGACGGUUUUUUUUAAAGCCAUUUCCAACCUUGAGGUUCAAUUAGUCUAUAGUUUCAGCCUUAAAAAGAAUUUACAGGUUAGCUAUGAGACAAGACAAAUGCAUCAAAAGGUAAAUAAUGAAAGGAGGCCAUAUGAUAAUGAGCAGUACUAACAAUAAAUGCUAGUACAUUUAUUGUUCUCAUUACAAUUUCAGAGGCUUAAGGGAGAAGGAGGAAAUGAAAAUAGACUGUGUCUAGAACUGCCCUGUCCAGUAAAGUAGCCACUAGCCAAAUAUGGCUAUUUACACUUGAAAUGUGGCUAAUCUGAAUGGAGACAUGCAGUAAAUCUAAAAUACACACCAGAUUUUGAAGACUUAGUUCAAAAAAAUGUAAAAUACCUUUUUUUUUCUUGUCCCUCCUCUACCCCACAUCUCCCCGUUCAAAAUGUAAAAUAUCUUAAUACUUAUGCUGACUACAUGUUAAAAUAAUGGCAUAUAUUGGGUCAAUAUAUUAAAAUUAAUUUCACCUGUUUUUUUUUUUAAUGUGCUUACUAGAAAAUCUUAACCCUACCAGACCGCUGUACCAAUUUUUCGGUAAUUUCGGUGGAUUGGCACACAAAGGUGGAAUAUUGGCACUAGAUGAAAGGUAGACCUAUUUUCUACAAUGUCUCCAAGUUCCAUCUUAUUCUAACCACUUGUUUGCAUGUAACUAACAUUUUUCAAUAUCAUGUUGGGUUUUUCUCUUUAAUGCUCAGGAGCCCAGGUAUAGGGGACAGUUAGGUUCAGGGCCUCAGGUCUGGUAGACUUAAUAUAUGGCUUGAAUCUUAUUUCUAUUAGAUAGUUCUGGCCAAAAAAAUAUACUUCAUUGAAUUUCUCAAAACUAUCUAUAAAGGAGAGUGAACUGGAAGACAUUCUAUCUACUAAAAACAGAAGAAAACCAUAUCAAUGACCAAUUCUUUUUAUACAUAUACUAGAGCCCUGGUGCACAAAAUUCAUGCACAGGGGUUAGGGGGUCCGUCAGCCCGGCCUUCAUCGACGCCAGCAUCCCUCAUCCCGGCCUCUGGCCCGAGGCUCCUCCCCUCCCUCCACAUGGCCAGGUCAGGGACCUUCCCCUGCCUCCACGUGGCUGGGGCGCAGACGCUGGGCUCACAUUGCUGGGGCGACACCACCAGCGACCCACCCUGGACCACUAUGGGUGCUUUCCAUCUUUGUUGUGGAGUGACGGUUAAUUUGCAUAUUUCUCUUUUAUUAGAUGGGAUGAACAUAAAAAGAAUCAACAGGCAAAUCAGGGUAAUCACCACUAUGAAAAAGACAAAGAAAGGCAGGUAGAAAAACUAACUCUAAAGGAAUCAAGUAUAAUUCCCGAGAUAAAAGGACAUUUCUAAAAAGCACUCCAAUUUGUAAUUCUCCAGUAUUAAAAAUAUAUUACAUCAGGGUACUUUGAAAAAAGAACAACCAUAGAAUGAAAUAGAGUUCUGAAACACUUAUAAAACAUCAUUACUUAAGUAAAACCAAAGAAAUCUAGAACAUAGCAUACAUAAACAUAAAAGAAAAUUUGAGAAAAGAUUCAUGGAGAGCCAAUUCAGCAGACUUAACAUUCAACUAGUGGAAGAGUUUAAAAAAGAAAAAUUGAGAAAAAUAUUUUUAAUUAUACGUUUAAUUAUAGGAGGCCUUUUUUAGGAUAUAGAAGAAAAGUUUUCAAGUUUAGUAGACUAUAGGGUACCAGAAAAUAGAUUUAAAAAGACUCAUACUCAUUAUGCUAAGUGAUUUCACUCAUAUGUGGAAUCUAAUGAACAAAAUUAAUGAAUAAGCAAAAUCCAGAUAGGUUGACAGCUGUCAGGGGUGUUUUGUCAGGAGUUCUAUUACUAUGGGAGAUGAAGAGAUAUUUGGAGACAAGUUUUUUUUAUCCAGGAUGCUUUUUUCUUGCUCAAUUAAAGCAAAUUUACUGGUAUUAAAAACCUAAGGAGAGCCUCUCUUCAUUUCUUAUCAGAAUGAGUGAAAUAUCAAGAAUAAUUUUCUCUCUUUCAAGCACAUAAGAGAGCUUGAAAAUAAGAGAGUAAAAAAAUGGCAACAUAAAAUCUUGGAUAUUAAUUAUUUUAAGGAUUAAUUUUUCCUGAAGUUUAGAGUGUUCUUAACCAUGUUUAAUACAGUCAAAUUGAAUAUUUCAGUCACUCUUCCCACAAUAAUUAAGCAUAUAUCACAUAACCCACACUUUGCUAUGCAUUGUGGAACUUUAAAAAAAAUAUAUGAUCUCUAGUCUCAAGGAACUUAGAGGAACUUACAAUUUGG